GUGCAGCAGUCGCGAAAACUCCGCAAUACGCGAAAGCGUGACGGGGCUACCCCGAGUGUCGUCCGCUGAGGACGACUUUUCCACGCUGUAAGGAGGCGUGGGAAUAAGGAGAGGGCAAGUCUGGUGUCAGCCGCCGCGGUAAUACCAGCUCUCCGAGUGGUAGGGACGAUUAUUGGGCUUAAAGCGUCCGUAGCCGGCUCAGCAAGUCUCCCGUUAAAUCCAACGAUUCAAUCGUUGGAUUGCGAGAGAUACUGUUCGGCUAGGAGGCGAGAGAGGCCAACGGUAUUCCCGGAGUAGGGGUGAAAUCCUAUAAUCCCGGGAAGACCACCAGUGGCGUAGGCUGUCGGCUAGAACACGCCCGACAGUGAGGGACGAAAGCUGGGGGAGCGAACCGGAUUAGAUACCCGCGUAGUCC
rnacentral:rRNA from 1 species